rnacentral:rRNA from 1 species
CCUACGGGUGGCAGCAGUAGGGAAUAUUGCUCAAUGGGGGAAACCCUGAAGCAGCAACGCCGCGUGGAGGAUGAAGGUUUUCGGAUUGUAAACUCCUUUUGUUAGAGAAGAAAAUGACGGUAUCUAACGAAUAAGCACCGGCUAACUCCGUGCCAGCAGCCGCGGUAAUACGGAGGGUGCAAGCGUUACUCGGAAUCACUGGGCGUAAAGGGCGCGUAGGCGGGAUAGCAAGUCAGAUGUGAAAUCCUAUGGCUUAACCAUAGAACUGCAUUUGAAACUGUUAUUCUAGAGUAUGGGAGAGGUAGGUGGAAUUCUUGGUGUAGGGGUCAAAUCCGUAGAGAUCAAGAGGAAUACUCAUUGCGAAGGCGACCUGCUAGAACAUAACUGACGCUGAUGCGCGAAAGCGUGGGGAGCAAACAGGAUUAGAUACCCCGGUAGUC